AUUGAACGCUGGCGGCAUGCCUAACACAUGCAAGUCGAGCGGAUGAAGGGAGCUUUCUCCUGUAUGCAGCUGCGGACGGGUAAGUAAGUCCUAGGAAUCUGCCUGGCAUAUGGGGAUAACGUCCGGAAACGGGCGCUAAUACCGCAUACGUCCUGAUGGAGAAAGGGGGGGAUCUUCGGACAUCACGCUAUCAGAUGAGCCUAGGUCGGAUUAGCUAGUUGGUGGGGUAAAGGCCUACCAAGGCGACGAUCCGUAACUGGUCUGAGAGGAUGAUCAGUCACACUGGAACUGAGACACGGUCCAGACUCCUACGGGAGGCAGCAGUGGGGAAUCUUCGACAAUGGGCGAAAGCCUGAUCCAGCAACGCCGCGUGUGUGAAGAAGGUCUUCGGAUUGUAAAGCACUGUUAGUUGGGAGGAAGGGAAGUAAGUUAAUCCAUGGCUGUUUUGACGGUACCUACAGAAUAAGCCCCGGCUAACUUCGUG
rnacentral:rRNA from 1 species